rnacentral:rRNA from 1 species
AACGAACGCUGGCGGCAUGCCUAACACAUGCAAGUCGAACGAGACCUUCGGGUCUAGUGGCGCACGGGUGCGUAACGCGUGGGAACCUGCCCUUAGGUUCGGAAUAACUCCCCGAAAGGGGUGCUAAUACCGGAUAAUGUCUUCGGACCAAAGAUUUAUUGGCUUUGGAUGGGCCCGCGUUGGAUUAGCUAGUUGGUAGGGUAAAAGCCUACCAAGGCGACGAUCCAUAGCUGGUCUGAGAGGAUGAUCAGCCACACUGGGACUGAGACACGGCCCAGACUCCUACGGGAGGCAGCAGUGGGGAAUAUUGGACGAUGGGCGAAAGCCUGAUCCAGCAAUGCCGCGUGAGUGAUGAAGGCCUUAGGGUUGUAAAGCUCUUUUACCCGGGAUGAUAAUGACAGUACCGGGAGAAUAAGCUCCGGCUAACUCCGUG